GUGGGGAAUAUUGGACAAUGGGCGCAAGCCUGAUCCAGCCAUGCCGCGUGAGUGAUGAAGGCCUUAGGGUUGUAAAGCUCUUUUGUCCGGGAAGAUAAUGACUGUACCGGAAGAAUAAGCCCCGGCUAACUUCGUGCCAGCAGCCGCGGUAAUACGAAGGGGGCUAGCGUUGUUCGGAAUCACUGGGCGUAAAGCGCACGUAGGCGGACCAUUAAGUCAGGGGUGAAAGCCUGGAGCUCAACUCCAGAACUGCCUUUGAUACUGAUGGUCUCGAGUUCGGAAGAGGUUGGUGGAACUGCGAGUGUAGAGGUGAAAUUCGUAGAUAUUCGCAAGAACACCAGUGGCGAAGGCGGCCAACUGGUCCGAUACUGACGCUGAGGUGCGAAAGCGUGGGGAGCAAACAGGAUUAGAAACCCCUGUAGUCC
rnacentral:rRNA from 1 species